rnacentral:rRNA from 1 species
UACGAAGGGGGCUAGCGUUGCUCGGAAUUACUGGGCGUAAAGGGCGCGUAGGCGGACAGUUUAGUCAGAGGUGAAAGCCCAGGGCUCAACCUUGGAACUGCCUUUGAUACUGGCUGUCUUGAGUUCGGGAGAGGUGAGUGGAAUGCCGAGUGUAGAGGUGAAAUUCGUAGAUAUUCGGCGGAACACCAGUGGCGAAGGCGACUCACUGGCCCGAUACUGACGCUGAGGCGCGAAAGCCAGGGGAGCGAACGGG